rnacentral:rRNA from 1 species
GGUUAAGCGACUAAGCGUACACGGUGGAUGCCCUGGCAGUCAGAGGCGAUGAAGGACGUGCUAAUCUGCGAAAAGCGUCGGUAAGGUGAUAUGAACCGUUACAGCCGGCGAUGUCCGAAUGGGGAAACCCAGUGCAAUUCGUUGCACUAUCGUUAACUGAAUACAUAGGUUAACGAGGCGAACCGGGGGAACUGAAACAUCUAAGUACCCCGAGGAAAAGAAAUCAACCGAGAUUCCCCCAGUAGCGGCGAGCGAACGGGGAGCAGCCCAGAGUCUGAAUCAGCUUGUGUGUUAGUGGAACGGUCUGGAAAGUCCGACGGUACAGGGUGAUAGUCCCGUACACCAAAAUGCACAGGUUGUGAACUCGAAGAGUAGGGCGGGACACGUGGUAUCCUGUCUGAAUAUGGGGGGACCAUCCUCCAAGGCUAAAUACUCCUGACUGACCGAUAGUGAACCAGUACCGUGAGGGAAAGGCGAAAAGAACCCCGGCGAGGGGAGUGAAAAAGAACCUGAAACCGUGUACGUACAAGCAGUGGGAGCACCUUCGGGUGUGACUGCGUACCUUUUGUAUAAUGGGUCAGCGACUUAUAUUCUGUAGCAAGGUUAACCGUAUAGGGGAGCCGCAGGGAAACCGAGUCUUAACUGGGCGUUAAGUUGCAGGGUAUAGACCCGAAACCCGGUGAUCUAGCCAUGGGCAGGUUGAAGGUUGGGUAACACUAACUGGAGGACCGAACCGACUAAUGUUGAAAAAUUAGCGGAUGACUUGUGGCUGGGGGUGAAAGGCCAAUCAAACCGGGAGAUAGCUGGUUCUCCCCGAAAGCUAUUUAGGUAGCGCCUCGUGAAUUCAUCUUCGGGGGUAGAGCACUGUUUCGGCUAGGGGGUCAUCCCGACUUACCAACCCGAUGCAAACUACGAAUACCGAAGAAUGUUAUCACGGGAGACACACGGCGGGUGCUAACGUCCGUCGUGAAGAGGGAAACAACCCAGACCGCCAGCUAAGGUCCCAAAGUCAUGGUUAAGUGGGAAACGAUGUGGGAAGGCACAGACAGCCAGGAUGUUGGCUUAGAAGCAGCCAUCAUUUAAAGAAAGCGUAAUAGCUCACUGGUCGAGUCGGCCUGCGCGGAAGAUGUAACGGGGCUAAACCAUGCACCGAAGCUGCGGCAGCGACACUAUGUGUUGUUGGGUAGGGGAGCGUUCUGUAAGCCUGCGAAGGUGGCCUGUGAGGGUUGCUGGAGGUAUCAGAAGUGCGAAUGCUGACAUAAGUAACGAUAAAGCGGGUGAAAAGCCCGCUCGCCGGAAGACCAAGGGUUCCUGUCCAACGUUAAUCGGGGCAGGGUGAGUCGACCCCUAAGGCGAGGCCGAAAGGCGUAGUCGAUGGGAAACAGGUUAAUAUUCCUGUACUUGGUGUUACUGCGAAGGGGGGACGGAGAAGGCUAUGUUAGCCGGGCGACGGUUGUCCCGGUUUAAGCAUGUAGGCGGAGGUUCCAGGUAAAUCCGGUACCUUUUAACGCUGAGGUGUGAUGACGAGGCACUACGGUGCUGAAGUAACAAAUGCCCUGCUUCCAGGAAAAGCCUCUAAGCAUCAGGUAACAUUAAAUCGUACCCCAAACCGACACAGGUGGUCAGGUAGAGAAUACCAAGGCGCUUGAGAGAACUCGGGUGAAGGAACUAGGCAAAAUGGUGCCGUAACUUCGGGAGAAGGCACGCUGGUGUGUAGGUGAAGUCCCUGCGGACGGAGCUGAGACCAGUCGAAGAUACCAGCUGGCUGCAACUGUUUAUUAAAAACACAGCACUGUGCAAACACGAAAGUGGACGUAUACGGUGUGACGCCUGCCCGGUGCCGGAAGGUUAAUUGAUGGGGUUAUCCGUAAGGAGAAGCUCUUGAUCGAAGCCCCGGUAAACGGCGGCCGUAACUAUAACGGUCCUAAGGUAGCGAAAUUCCUUGUCGGGUAAGUUCCGACCUGCACGAAUGGCGUAAUGAUGGCCAGGCUGUCUCCACCCGAGACUCAGUGAAAUUGAACUCGCUGUGAAGAUGCAGUGUACCCGCGGCAAGACGGAAAGACCCCGUGAACCUUUACUAUAGCUUGACACUGAACAUUGAGCCUUGAUGUGUAGGAUAGGUGGGAGGCUUUGAAGCGUGGACGCCAGUCUGCGUGGAGCCAACCUUGAAAUACCACCCUUUAAUGUUUGAUGUUCUAACGUUGGCCCCUGACCGGGGUUGCGGACAGUGUCUGGUGGGUAGUUUGACUGGGGCGGUCUCCUCCCAAAGCGUAACGGAGGAGCACGAAGGUUAGCUAAUCCUGGUCGGACAUCAGGAGGUUAGUGCAAUGGCAUAAGCUAGCUUGACUGCGAGCGUGACGGCGCGAGCAGGUGCGAAAGCAGGUCAUAGUGAUCCGGUGGUUCUGAAUGGAAGGGCCAUCGCUCAACGGAUAAAAGGUACUCCGGGGAUAACAGGCUGAUACCGCCCAAGAGUUCAUAUCGACGGCGGUGUUUGGCACCUCGAUGUCGGCUCAUCACAUCCUGGGGCUGAAGUAGGUCCCAAGGGUAUGGCUGUUCGCCAUUUAAAGUGGUACGCGAGCUGGGUUUAGAACGUCGUGAGACAGUUCGGUCCCUAUCUGCCGUGGGCGCUGGAGAAUUGAGGGGGGCUGCUCCUAGUACGAGAGGACCGGAGUGGACGCAUCACUGGUGUUCGGGUUGUCAUGCCAAUGGCACUGCCCGGUAGCUAAAUGCGGAAGAGAUAAGUGCUGAAAGCAUCUAAGCACGAAACUUGCCCCGAGAUGAGUUCUCCCUGAGACUAUAAGUCUCCUGAAGGAACGUUGAAGACGACGACGUUGAUAGGCCGGGUGUGUAAGCGCAGCGAUGCGUUGAGCUAACCGGUACUAAUGAACCGUGAGGCUUAACCUU